UGCUUCACUGGUACCAUAUUCCAGACAGAGAAAUCCCGGCUUAAGACAUCUGUGCCAUUCCAGAUUCAUGGGUACACCGUAUGACUCAUGUGCAGUGUUCUCUGGUGGAUGAGCAACUACGAGUAUGUGAUGGGAGAGCAAUGAAAAUUUACACACAGGGAGCAUUUGUGGAUUACUCUGAGCUCAGACAAGUGUUGCGUUCUAUCGCUGUGGUAACUGAGCACAUCAGUGUAUCUCACAUGGCAAAACUAUAUUCUGUUCUUAGCCAUCAGGAAGAUGAUGACAAAACCUAAUUAGUGAAGGCAAUAAAGAAAGAAAUUGCAGCCCACAGUUGUCUGUGAUACUUGACUUGACAUACACAAAUGAUGUACAGCUCCCACAUAGAUAAAUUAUGUUUAACACAUCUCAGUAAUUGUAGCAGCCACAGAAAAAAAGAACAGAAGAAAGAAACUUCUUUCAGUACAUCAACUGAAACCAGGCAUAAUGCAACGCUGAGCCAGCAACACUUGGUGAAAACAACUAUAAGCCAGAUUACAACAAAGAGGAGAAAUAGGACAUUUCUUAUAUGGCACCCACUUCCAUCAAGAAAUAAAAAGAGACAAUACUAAUGAAAGCAGACUACCUUGUUUGACAAGUAUUUAAUGCCUCCAUUCACAACAUUGUCCCUAAAGGAAAAAUCAGGCAUGGCCAUCUGAGGGAGAGCUGUUCCCUGAAGGAUAUAAAGGAGACACAGAUUGCCUAUUUAAGCAGCCUCCUGUCAUUUGCAAUUCGAAAUGCUGCUUUACUUUCUGAGGUCACUCAAAACUCUUUGUGACUGAAGUCAUAACCUGAAUUUAUUUAUUCCAUAUCCUGUUUACUAAUUCACCGAUAAGUCCUCCUUACCAUGCUAACCAAUCACUGCAUCACAUGGCUUCUUUCUACACAAGAACAAAUCAGCUCAGCCAUUGAUACCUUUGUGAACACAUUGUCAAGAUUUGUUCUACUUCAACACCAAAGCAAAGCACUGGCCUUGUGGCCUAGAAGGAAGAUAUCACUGUAGCAACUUGAGGUGCUGGUGAUACUGCAUGGUUUCCCUUCUCUUCCUCUUUACUGUACUGCACUCCUGCCAAAAGUUAACUUUACAGGAGAGUGAUUCCUUUUGAGAAGACAGACAGGGCUGCCUCAAUUAUCCUGACUCAGCACAUUUGGAACAAAACAAGGACCAACUGCAGAAAGAGACAUUUGUAAUGCUUGCUCCAGAACACAAAAUAAACAGAGCGAGUGCGCAGCUGGCCUGGUGGGAGCUACAGAGCCUAAGCCUUUGCUCGGCGUUUGGCAGGAAGAGCUGCAGUGCCUGCAUAAGAAAGAAACAUUUUCUUUUCACCAGAUCUCUUUGCCACAUUCAAGAACACCAAUAAGAUACAGCAGCUGACUGGAAAAGAGGACAGAGCCCGUUAGGAUUUCAUGUUAAAAAAAUAGCCAUUAUACUCCCAAUCCAGUACAUACAUUCUUCUAGGUUCAUAUCACCUCGAUUACUGCACUUCCAGUAAUACAGAAACCAGGAUCCUGAGCUGAACAAAUUCAAAAAGAAAUUUCUUACUUGGGAAUAAGAAACUGCAAAAUUAACCAAGAUCUGUAUCACAAACCAACUUCAAACACGUAAAACAAAACCACCAAAGAUUUCUACCAUGCUGAAAGUUUGAGAUUAAAAAAGCCACAAAUCUUGUUCUCAGAAGUUCAUUACGUAGCAUUGUACACUGAAAUACAGGAUGUUGUUAUGCAGCCAAGCAUCUGGGGAGAUUAACCGUGAUUAAAAAAAAUCUCUGGGAAAAGCAGUUAUUUAAUAGAACAAGGAUGACGGCAAAACAAGCUACCGGAUUUGUGCAAUUGAAUCAAGCUGGAUGUUAGGAACCAUUAUUUUACCAUAAAACAAAUCAAAUAGAAAUAUUUACCCUGAUCCUAAGAGAUGCUGAGUACAAAGCUCCCAGCAGUUUCCCACCAAAAAAACAGAGCAGUAUCCUUACAGACAGGGCAGUGUAAAAUGACCUGAAGCGUUCAAGAAUAUGUUUCUUCGUAGUACCAAAGUAAAGGAAUUCGGGGAAGCCACGUAGGAGGGUGUCCUGAGAGACAUGGUAAAUACCGAGCAAAGGGGAUGUUGAACCCAUGUUGCAAUGAUAUCUGUGGGCAACAACAGAGAGACUAAAGGCCAAGAGGAAGGCACAGCCAAGCCCAGAGCAGAGAGAAAAAGCCAGAGACAAAAACUGUAUAGGGUUCUCUUCCUAUGUUGUAAAGCUAUCCUCCCACUACCCACAGUCACAUCAAUGCUCAUUCUCAACACACAGUUAAACUCUGCACUACAGCUGUAUUUCACCAUUCUGAAAUGCUACAUAAAUACUACAUAAUUAAAACAGCUAAAGCUUUUCCUGACAGUUUUCUUGCAUUCAAAUAUACAUGCUCAUUCUUCCAAGUAUGAAGCAUCACCACUACUUGGAAGAAGCCUGCUCCUUGUACUGAAUAGAACUGCUUAGCUGAUUUAUAGGGCAUUUACUGUAACUGCUUCUGGGCAUAAAGCAAGCAGUUUUUGUUUGUUGGCUUGGUUAUUGGAGGGGUUUUUUUGUUUUUUUCAGUGAAGAGUGACAACUGUCAGAAGUAUCCAUUAGCACAGAAUUUGUCCAAGAAAAAUUCUGUCAUAUUGCUGUUAUUACAGGAAAGACAAGAAAAGUAAUCUCAGACAAGGACAUAUGACUUGGCAGACGCGAAACAGAGAUAUCAGCCUCAAAUUCCAAGAACAAACUUAACUACUGCCAGCAAGCUGACAGCUACAGUUCAUGUGCAUCUGCUGUUUCCCAGAACUGCACUUUGCAGAAGCGUGAAGUUAGACACUUCACAAUUCUAUCAAGUUGAGACAUUAAAGAAAAAAACUCAGCACUCGGAACCCAUAUUAAAAAAAAAAAACAAAACAAACUUUAAUAUGUUUUUCUCCAAGAUCUAAUAUACAAAUGCAACGGUAAUAAUGUACUCUUCUUUUGUAAGCUUGGAUGAAAUAUAUUGAAGUCCACUUUUUGCAUGUUAUGUAAAAAAUCAUCUAAAGCAACCUAGAAAAGAAGAAAAAAAGCUUAAUCCAUAUGGUGCAUACAAAUAAUUGGGCAUUAAGUUUAAAAAAACAAUACAUGAAACCAAAUGAGAAACUGCAAAAAGGCUUGACAGUUUGUGUUAUUAAGUGGUAGCGUAACCAUCACAUUCCAAGCAUAUAAAAAAAUCAGGUUUUGUGAAGAGAAGCAUUACCUUUUACUAGACCAAACAGCAAAUUAUAAAAAUAGACAAGAUUUGGGGCUCUUGCAUCAGAAUGGCAGUCUAUGAAUAUACAGACAUCUUGGGUGAAAUGAUGUAGUUAAAGGAGAAGGAUUAAAAGUGUUGAUCAAAACUGUAAGGUUCCACAGUCAGGCACACAUUAUGAUUGAUCUUUGUGAGUUUUAGGUAUUACAUCCUCCCAAAACAGACACACGAAGCAGGAGUUAACCAUGCUUAAUUUGAUACUCUUCACAAACAUUAGCAGAGGAAUGAGUCCAUCACUUAAAGAGUGCAUGAUAUCACACCCACCGUACAGAAAAAAGCAGGAUACGCCUUCGCGGGAACUUUCUUACUGAAAGAUCUAGCCUAAAAGUAAAUGGGGUAAGGUGGGGGGGAAACAAAACAAAAACAAACGUACUUAUCAGAAGAAUUUAACAUUUCAGAUUAAACAUCAAGUACUACGUAGAACGGUUAGAGGCAACAAACUGUUUUAUGAGCUUCAUCCCUUUUUAUUUUGACAUCCUGAAUGUGUAACUUUUCCUUGUGCAAGCCAGCACCAUCCCUCACUGUGUACAAAGCAGUUACACAGUAAGUAUGUAAUACUGGGAGAGGCCUGCUAAAAUAUUUACGUGGUUUGACAGACUUAAAGAUUACAUAUUAUAAAUCAUGUAAAUUAGCAUCCCUUGUUCCAACAAAGUCCCAAGUUGCAUCUGGUUUAAUAAACAAUUUAACCUUUCCCCCACCCCACAACCCAAAUAACUCUCUGCAUGCCAAUAGACAGAAAUUAUGGAAGACCAGAAAUGCACUUCUCUCAGUGCAUCUUUUUGGUCCAAUGUUGCCAUCAGCCCCAGAAGCCCAGUUGUAAAGUCUCCCAUUGCAUUUCUGGGACUUCAAAAUUAUCUCAGUUCCUCAGUAUUUACAUAUCACAUCUAAAGCAAGGCUGAAUCAAAUCUACAAUUUAAACUCGUGUUCAGCUCAGGUUCCUCAACAGAGCUGAAGCAAGUCUUCCUGUAAUGUUUAUUUAUAAACACAAAAUCCCUCCUUGUUUUGCCUUUUCUUACAGGUUAAAACAAACCAACCCUUUACAAAUACUGACAAGAGUGUAUAAGUUUCUGAUAGUUUUUCACAAAUUUUUCCAGGCAACUGAGAAAAAUCAGCCUGAAACUUUGGAAGUAAAAAAUACUUAAUCUUUUAGAAGGCAAAUUAUUUUAAAACUUUUUGUAUGUCUAUCUCUAAAAAAGAAAAAUAUUCUUCCCUGAUCUAACAUCUUGCCUUACUAUUAUUAAUUGUGAGAUGAAAAAAAAAAGUAGUCUUGCUUGACCUUCUUAACCCAGAAUGGGUUGCACGUCAUUCAGAAAGCAUGUUAUCUUCCAAUGGGUAAAUUGAGCCCAUAAUGAUGUAGCAUAACUGAGAUAAAUGCAAAAAGCCAAAAGGACACUCUCUUUUAACAAAGGGUGCUUAAGAGGAAGGAGGAGAACAUGUAAAUGUAUUCACAGGCUUUCAGAGGGGGACUGUGGGACUGACAGAAUGUUUAUUAUAUGUUUUUAUUCUAAUAAAACACAGAACUCCUAAGGAAAACUA